GGGUGCUUGUUUCCAUAGGAAAUGUUCACAACUAUCACCUUUGCGAAGCAUUAAUUUUUCCUUAACUAGGUCUAUUUUCUGGUGAUUCAAUAUCACAGGGUGUCAUUAUGUGAUUAGUAUUUUAAAUACAUUCACGUGGGCUUGAGCCAGCUAUCCCUAUUUUGCAAUCUUCUUCCUACAGAUCACCUGCUUCUACUCCUUGUUUAAGAUUAGGGUCUUUCUUUCAAAGCAGGGACUUUUGUAUAUCCUUAGCAUAUGUUCAUAAAUACAGACUUAUUAUGGACAAAUAAGGAUUGUAUGGUCCUUGGCCUUCUUCAUUUAUUUGCUUACAUUUUUUGUGUGCUUACAGAUGUUUCCAUACCUGCAGGAAGAAGAGAAUGGACUUCCACCUUGUGAAUAAUUCCAGGUUGUCCCAGUGAUAACUUUUAAGAGACAUGAUGUUCAGGUGAAAGGGAAAGAUUGUGUCCACUAAAGUGAAAACAUGGAGUCAACUCUAGGUGCUGGUAACCAGUUGCUUGGUGCAGCUAUCCAAGUUUCUCUUCCCAGGGUCAAUCUAUAGUUCAACAGUCCUUCUACAGUACCCAAUCUGUAGGUCAGCACUGAAGCUUAGAACAUGAAUAAAAAUAUGUGCUUUAUAUAUAUGUAUAUAUAUAUUUAUUUUUUUUUAAAUAUAGGCUUAUGGUGUCUGAGGCCUGAUUUAUUUCUAGUCAAUGCUCUUCAACUCCUCAUUGUCAGUACUAACAUCAGUAAUUGUUAUGUUACCAAGAACACCUAAGAAAACACAGGAGAACCUACAGGCGGAAUAAAGCGAUGGUGAUGAAUGGUAUUGCAGAUGUAAAAGCACUGUGGUGGUGGUGUUUCAAAUGUUGUUUCAAAUGUUGCAGUUCUCUGCUGCAAGCGAAACCUCCAAAACCUCCGUGGUGAUACAUGGACCAGGGAUAUUCCUGACUUAUAUCCACGACUGCUCACACAGAAACUUCUUAGGCAGUUCCCUCAUUACGUAGUAGUAACUGUGGCUGAGAAGAGUUGUCCCCAGAAACAGUCUCUUUAAGUAUUUCAGAGACCUCAUCACAAGUCUGUUUGCAUCCCAAAUACUACAGGAUAUAUUUCUCGUUUGAAAGAGAAGCCAUUGGCUCUCCUGGGGUUUAGGUCUCUGGGUGGUCUUGCAAGUGAGAAUGAGCACAAUUUGGCACCUGAGGCAGGCCAGAGCAGUACAGGUGCUGAGUACUGAGCAACUGCGAAGACACCAGGUGAAUAUUUUUUUAAAAAACCCAUUCAGAAUCUUCUUUUUCAAGACAAUUCCAAUGGAGAAGGACCAUGGGGGUUCUUAGGCUUUUGAAAAUUGGUAAAACUUUUUUGACUAGUACAUAGUAGAAAACUAGUUCCUGUUACAAUAUAGAGCUCAAUUAAUCACAAACUUUAAGUCUUAAAUUUCUUGCUGGCAAGCCAAGCAAGUUCUCAUUUAAACUGGUUUUUUAAACAUUUUUGAUUGUUUAAUAAAUAUUUAGUAAAUU